rnacentral:rRNA from 1 species
GACGAACGCUGGCGGCGUGCUUAACACAUGCAAGUCGAACGGAAAGGCCCCUUUGGGGGUCCUCGAGUGGCGAACGGGUGAGUAACACGUGAGUAACCUGCCCUUGACUUCGGGAUAACUUCAGGAAACUGGGGCUAAUACCGGAUAGGAAUCCUUGCUGCAUGGUGGGGGUUGGAAAGCUUCGGCGGUUUUGGAUGGACUCGCGGCUUAUCAGCUUGUUGGUGGGGUAGUGGCUUACCAAGGCUUUGACGGGUAGCCGGCCUGAGAGGGCGACCGGCCACAUUGGGACUGAGAUAAGGCCCAGACUCCUACGGGAGGCAGAAGUGGGGAAGAUUGCACAAUGGGCGGCAGCCUGAUGCAGCAACGCCGCGGGCGGGAUGACGGCCUUCGGGUUGUAAACCGCUUUCAGCAGGGGCGAAGCUUGUGGUGACGGUACCUGCAGAAGAAGCACCGGCUAACUACGUG